UACAGAGGUGGCAAGCGUUGUUCGGAUUUACUGGGCGUAAAGGGUGCGUAGGUUGUUUCGUAUGUCGGAUGUGAAAUCUCACCGCCUAACGGUGGAACUGCAUUCGAAACUGCGAAGCUAGAGUACAGGAGAGGAGAGCGGAAUUCUUGGUGUAGCGGUGAAAUGCGUUGAUAUCAAGAGGAACACCGGUGGCGAAGGCGGCUCUCUGGAAUGUUACUGACACUGAGGCACGAAAGCUGGGGGAGCGAACAGG
rnacentral:rRNA from 1 species